rnacentral:lncRNA from 1 species
CCCCGCGGUCCUAGCGCCCGGCUUACUGCCCGCGCCGCUCUGCGGCAGGCGAGGUGCGGCGCGCCAGAGCGCAGGACUUCCUGGGAGGCAGUCGAGGAGCCCUGGCUUUACAAAGAAAAGCAAAUGAAAGAUGCACUGCGAGAGGCGGGAGGAAGAAACCCUGAGUCUCCCGAGACUCAAAGUUCUCCUGCAGAAUAGAAGCCGAAUAUGACUGAGUUGAGAGAGUCGGAGGGAAGGGGAGUUGAUUUAAUGGACUCGGAUGGCCAUGGCAGUUUCUCUUCCAUUCUUCGGCCACACACACAGAAGCGCAAACUAUGUUUCAGGCGGAGUUUCGAUCUUGUCGCCCAGGCUGCAAUGCAAUGCUGCGAUCUCGGCUCACUGCAACCUCCGCCUCUCGGGUUCAAGCAAUUAUCCUGCCUCAGCCUCCUGAGUAGCUGGGACUACAGGCGCCCACCACCAUGCCCGGCUAAUUUUUGUAUUUUUAGUAGAGACGGGGUUUCACCAUAUUAGCCAGGCUGGUCUCGAACUCCUGACCUCAGAUGAUCUGCUCCCCUCGGCCUAGCUACAUCUUAUUAAUAAGCAUAAACUAAUUUUAUCUCAACAGUAAAGAUAUUUUCAAUAGGAAAAAAAGAAAAAAAAUGAUGUAUAUGAAGACUAAUAACGAGGGGGAAAGCAGGGAAAAAACAUGUGAUCAACAUCUACAAUCAGUUGACUUUGCAUCAUUAGUUCUGAGGUUGAGACACCCUAGUCUACACCAUCCUUGUAGGAGUUCGGCCACAAAUUACAGUCUCGUUCCUCAAAAAACAGGUCUGCAAAGAAAAUAAACUUGUUGGCCAGGCGCAGUGGCUCACACCUGUGAUCCCAGCACUUUGGGAGGCUGAGGCGGGCAGAUCACGAGGUCGGGAAAUCGAGACCAUCCUGACUAGCUGCAGAAUGGCGUGAACCCGGGAGGCGGAGCUUGCAGUGGGCCGAGAUGGCGCCACUGGACUCCCGCCUGGGUGACAGAGCGAGACUCUGUCUCAAUAAAAGAAAAAGAAAAUAAACUUGUUAAAUUUUCUUAA